GUGCUUGUCUCCACAGCAUAUAUACUAAAAUUGGAAAGAUACAGAGAAGUUUAUCAUGGACCCUGUGCAAAAAGGACACACAAAUUUGUGAAGCGUUCCAUAUUAAA